rnacentral:rRNA from 1 species
UACGGAAGGCAGCAGUGGGGAAUAUUGCACAAUGGGCGAAAGCCUGAUGCAGCUAUGCCGCGUGUAUGAAGAAGGCCUUAGGGUUGUAAAGUACUUUCAUCGGGGAGGAAAAACAAAACUAAUAAUUUUAUUUCUUGACGUUACCCGAAAAAGAAGCACCGGCUAACUCCGUGCCAGCAGCCGCGGUAAUACGGAGGGUGCUAGCGUUAAUCAGAAUUACUGGGCGUAAAGAGCACGUAGGUGGUUUUUUUAAAGUCAGAUGUGAAAUCCCCUGGGCUUAACCUAGGAACUGCAUUUUGAAACUGAAAUACUAGAGUAUCGUAGAGGGAGGUAGAAUUCUAGGUGUAGCGGUGAAAUGCGUAGAUAUCUGGAGGAAUACCUGUGGCGAAAGCGGCCUCCUAAACGAAUACUGACACUGAGGUGCGAAAGCGUGGGGAGCAAACAGGGAUUAGAUACC